GACGAACGCUGGCGGCGUGCUUAACACAUGCAAGUCGAACGGAAAGGCCCUGCUUGUGUGGGGUGCUCGAGUGGCGAACGGGUGAGUAACACGUGAGUAACCUGCCCUUGACUUUGGGAUAACUUCAGGAAACUGGGGCUAAUACCGGAUAGGAGCUCCUGCUGCAUGGUGGGGGUUGGAAAGUUUCGGCGGUUGGGGAUGGACUCGCGGCUUAUCAGCUUGUUGGUGGGGUAGUGGCUUACCAAGGCUUUGACGGGUAGCCGGCCUGAGAGGGUGACCGGCCACAUUGGGACUGAGGUACGGCCCAGACUCCUACGGGAGGCAGCAGUCGGGAAUAUUGCACAAUGGGCGGAAGCCUGAUGCAGCAACGCCGCGUGCGGGAUGACGGCCUUCGGGUUGUAAACCGCUUUCGCCUGUGACGAAGCGUGAGUGACGGUAAUGGGUAAAGAAGCACCGGCUAACUACGUG
rnacentral:rRNA from 1 species